UAGGGAAUCUUCGGCAAUGGACGAAAGUCUGACCGAGCAACGCCGCGUGAGUGAAGAAGGUUUUCGGAUCGUAAAACUCUGUUGUUAGAGAAGAACGUUGUGUAGAGUGGAAAAUUACACAAGUGACGGUAUCUAACCAGAAAGGGACGGCUAACUACGUGCCAGCAGCCGCGGUAAUACGUAGGUCCCGAGCGUUGUCCGGAUUUAUUGGGCGUAAAGCGAGCGCAGGUGGUUUAAUAAGUCUGAUGUAAAAGGCAGUGGCUCAACCAUUGUGUGCAUUGGAAACUGUUAGACUUGAGUGCAGUAGAGGAGAGUGGAAUUCCAUGUGUAGCGGUGAAAUGCGUAGAUAUAUGGAGGAACACCGGUGGCGAAAGCGGCUCUCUGGACUGUAACUGACACUGAGGCUCGAAAGCGUGGGUAGCAAACAGGAUUAGAUACCCUGGUAGUCCACGCCGUAAACGAUGAGUGCUAGUUGUUUGGGGCUAUCCAGCCCUAAGUGACGCAGC
rnacentral:rRNA from 1 species